GAUGAACGCUGGCGGCGUGCUUAACACAUGCAAGUCGAACGGUGAAGGCGGCGCUUGCUCUGCUGGAUCAGUGGCGAACGGGUGAGUAACACGUGAGCAACCUGCCCCUGACUCUGGGAUAAGCGCUGGAAACGGCGUCUAAUACUGGAUACGAGCUGCGCAGGCAUCUUCAGCAGCUGGAAAGAAUUUCGGUCAGGGAUGAGCUCGCGGCCUAUCAGCUUGUUGGUGAGGUAAUGGCUCACCAAGGCGUCGACGGGUCGCCGGCCUGAGUGGGUGACCGGCCACACUGGGACUGAGACACGGCCCAGACUCCUACGGGAGGCAGCAGGGGGGAAUAUUGCACAAGGGGCGAAAGCCUGAUGCAGCAACGCCGCGUGAGGGACGACGGCCUUCGGGUUGUAAACCUCUUUUAGCAGGGAAGAAGCGAAAGUGACGGUACCUGCAGAAAAAGCGCCGGCUAACUACGUG
rnacentral:rRNA from 1 species